CAGUCGCCACGGGAAAACGUAGGUGGCAAGCGUUGUCCGGAAUGAUUGGGCGUAAAGGGCGCGCAGGCGGCUGUGUAAGUCUGUCUAGAAAGUGCGGGGCUAAACCCCGUGAGAGGAUGGAAACUGGACAGCUGAGAGUGUCGGAGAGGAAAGCGGAAUUCCUGGUGUAGCGGUGAAAUGCGUAGAUAUUAGGAGGAACACCGGUGGCGAAAGCGGCUUUCUGGACGACAACUGACGCUGAGGCGCGAAAGCCAGGGGAGCAAACGGGAUUAGAUACCCCAGUAGUCCCUGUCUCUUAUAC
rnacentral:rRNA from 1 species